rnacentral:rRNA from 1 species
GAGUUUGAUCCUGGCUCAGAACGAACGCUGGCGGCGUGCUUAAUACAUGCAAGUCGAACGUGAUUGGAAGCUUGCUUCCAUGAAAGUGGCGCACGGGUGAGUAACGCGUGGAUAACCUGCCCUGGUAUCCGGAAUAACAUCUCGAAAGGGGUGCUAAUACCGGAUAAGCCUACGGAGCCCUCGGUCUCUGCGGGAAAAAGUGGCCUCUAUUUAUAAGCUACCGUAUCAGGAUGGGUCCGCGUACCAUUAGCUAGUUGGUGGGGUAAUGGCCUACCAAGGCGACGAUGGUUAGCUGGUCUGAGAGGAUGAUCAGCCACACUGGAACUGAGACACGGUCCAGACUCCUACGGGAGGCAGCAGUGGGGAAUUUUGCGCAAGGGGGGAAACCCUGACGCAGCAACGCCGCGUGAGUGAUGAAGGCUUUCGGGUCGUAAAGCUCUGUCAGAGGGGAAGAAAUGGAAACGGUUAAUACCCGUUUUCCUUGACGGUACCCUCAAAGGAAGCACCGGCUAACUCCGUGCCAGCAGCCGCGGUAAUAC